GAUGAACGCUGGCGGCGUGCCUAACACAUGCAAGUCGAACGGACAUUUUUUGGAAAGUUCUUCGGAACUGGAAUCUAAAUGUUAGUGGCGGACGGGUGAGUAGAAUGUAGAGAAUCUGCCCUUGAGCGGGGGAUAACAGUCGGAAACGAUUGCUAAUACCCCAUAUGAGGUGAGUUGAAAUACUUAUCUUGAAAACUCCGGUGCUCAAGGAUGAGUCUGCAUCUGAUUAGCUAGUUGGUGGUGUAAUGGACCACCAAGGCGAUGAUCAGUAGCUGGUUUGAGAGGGUGACCGGCCACAUUGGGACUGAGACACGGCCCAA
rnacentral:rRNA from 1 species